AAUAUUGGACAAUGGGGGAAACCCUGAUCCAGCCAUCUCGCGUGUAUGAUGAAGGCCUUCGGGUUGUAAAGCACUUUUGGCAGAGAAGAAAAGGUAUCUCCUAAUACGAGAUAGUGUUGACGGUACUUGCAGAAUAAGCACCGGCUAAUUACGUGCCAGCAGCCGCGGUAAUACGUAGGGUGCAAGCGUUAAUCGGAAUUACUGGGCGUAAAGCGUGUGUAGGCGGUUCGGAAAGAAAUGUGUGACAGCCCAGGGCUCAACCUUGGAACUGCAUUUUUAACUGCCGAGCUAGAGUAUGUCAGAGGGGGGUAGAAUUCCACGUGUAGCAGUGAAAUGCGUAGAUAUGUGGAGGAAUACCGAUGGCGAAGGCAGCCCCCUGGGAUAAUACUGACGCUCAGACACGAAAGCGUGGGGAGCAAACAGG
rnacentral:rRNA from 1 species